UAGACAAACGACCAAGUAAUACGUAGAUGCUGCGCUGGUUGAUGAGCGUUGGUCGCGCGGUUCGCCUGACGCGCGCGCAAACCAUUCGCCCGAUAGCGUGCACAAGCCGCUGUAACUGUACGUGUUUACGCGCGUCAAGAGAACGCGCCGCUACGAAUUCGAUGCGUAUCCGCGCGUCCACGGUAAAAAGUAGAGAAGCGUGCGCGCGAUUAGUGCAACGACGAUGAAUCGGCAAGCGGGAAUAGGACAGGAGCAGCGGCAGAAACGCGCUCGCGAGCUCUCAUAGAUAGGAAGUUGGAAGCGUAGUGGUCGCGAGGUAUAGUCGUAUAACGCGUCUAUACCGUCUGGGCACAUACGCACGCGAUAUCGCGUCCAGUCCGCGCGGUAUUAAUUGUUACGACGAGAAAGGCAAAUAAUUAUUAUAAUUGUCCGGUAUAAUAAUAGGAUUCAGCGCUGGAAUACCGCUUAUACAUCGUUCGUCGUAAUAAAGCGGCCAUCGAUUUCGAGCCGGCGUCCAUCGAUAUCGGUGUAGGCGCGCGGCUAUAUAACAGGCAAGCGCAUGAUACGCGUACGCAGCUGGACACGUAGUUCGUACAGGUAUUUACGUAGCGGUGUUGUGUGCGUGUACACGGGCAAGUGGUGUGUGUGCGCGUAUAACGCAUAUCGAAUGUUUAUAUUAUAUGCACACACCUAACGAAAGCCUAAAUAUACUAGCCACCGUGUGGGAUCACGCCUAUAGGCGGCUAUUUGAGCGAUAAACAACCGGGCCCGACGUGUUACGCGGCGAAUGGUAAAAUGUAUGUAUACCGGGUGUACGCCUCCAUUCUGCCACGUUGUUGGUGUAUCAAUUGUGAUUAGGGACAAAGAUCCGACGAAUUAUUCCCGCUCGGUCUCUAAUCUGAUAACCGAAGCCAGUACGCGCACACGUCAUUGCAUCGAUUGUUUCUGCAUGUGGGAAAUCAUAAAGGGCAAUGAGUGUCCGAGUGUCUUCAUUGUGCUCGAUAGAACGAAACGCUAAUCACUUUUAUUGGUACGAUCGCGACGUCGCCCGCCACGCAACUAAACCUACUCUCGCCGUACGACCUUCUACCACUUCCAUCGUCUUCUAUUCUCAACGAAUUUAUCACGAACAGGUUACAAUGUUGACGAAUCCGAUGGGUCCGCGGAUGGAACGGCGGGACACUGGUUGAAAUUCUUGGACCGGUGGCGAAGCGUUUUAUGACUUGAUCGAACCGUUCCUCCGCUCGCUACCGCAAUAAUAUUCGAGAGUUUGCACUCCCCUUUCGAAAGGCCGCACCCCAAGGACCGAGGGAUGAAAAACCGAGGGGUAGUCGGUCGAAUCAAUUCCAAACAGGGGAGGGUUUCGGCGUUUUCAACGGUGGGUCACGGCACUGGGUUACCGGGUGCGUAUACCUCGAAUUCGCUCCUUCUUUCCUCCUCUCUCUCUCUCUCUCUCUCUGUUAUUCUUCUCGGCGCGACACUUCUCGGGCUACAAAUUUAACCGGCAGAAUAGAACGUUGGAACACCGUGGUUGCCUGUUCGCUUUGCGAGAAUGUUCGCGGCGGCAACUUCUCAGAAAUCGCGAUUACCUGAAUUUCGUUUGUUGUUUGUCGCGCCGCAGCUUCGAAACGAUACGACGAUAGAACACGGUCGGAACCCGGAAACGAAAUCCUGGAAGGCAGUUUGGCGGAUAUCGGGACGGUGGCGCGAUAGCGGUACAUCGGGAUUGUCCAUCUUCGAAAUAUCAUUUGGGAUGUAAAUUUCGUGUGGCCGGCUCGAAUACAAAAUGCGUACGAGAUUCGAGAUCGGUGGAUUUGCGAUAGGAAGAGGAACUUUUGGAUUUCCAUUUACAGGGCGUAGCCUGAUUGGACGAAUCGACAUCACCGGUCGCUUCGCUAUUCUCCCCGCAGGACACGUCACGCACAUUGGCACAGACUUAUGGGUAUAAUUCAUCGACAUUACUCGCAACGGGGGUCGGCGGACCACCCCAGCGCAACCACCGUAACCCAGCACGCGCGUUUUAAUCCAUGCGGUGCCCUACCAUACUUUUACACGCUUCCGUAUUUACGAGCUCGCAACCAUUUGUUCAGCUCUGCUCCUUCGACUCUCUAUCUCCACAGAGAACCUGAUUCGUAUCGAUCAGCGAAUCAAAGUCCAUCACUCUGUUUAUGCUGAUCAACCACGAGAAACACGAUGUUUCUAGCUGCGGGACUAACUGCGGUCAAAGAUGCCAGCAAAGCUUUCGAGUCGAAGCUAAGACGAAGAAAGGACACGGCGGAGGGAGUCGUUGACCGACGAGUGGAUGUCACGGUGAAACUGACUACCACCGGGCGAAAAUAGAGGCAACGACGCGGAGGAAACUAGCGGAGGGUCGCCAAUCACGAGAAGCUUUCUCCGUAUGGUUGGAGAACGCUAGGCGAAUUCAUCGGUCGUAAAAUCUCGUAUGGAUAAUGAGUUUCCGUCGUUUUGCGGUGCAACGCGAGCAACAGGAAUCGAGUCGGACGAAGAGUAAGAAAGGUUAACAGAGGGAAGGUACCACCGAUAGUCGAGGAAAGAACCCGAGGGGAAAGGCAAAGGGAGAUGAGAAGAAGAGGCAGAAAAAAGGUGGAAGGAAAGGACGGGACCAGAGGUGGACCACACACACACACAUGCAGCGAACGUGACCGAAGCGAUCCAAGUCCAUAUUGUAAUGCGGAGGUAUCCAUCCUGCCGCAUUAUCGUACAGUCCGCGGCAGCAGCACGAUACUUCCGUGAUCAUGCUUUCCAGCACGAAAUCA